rnacentral:rRNA from 1 species
AUCCUGGCUCAGGAUGAACGCUGGCGGCGUGCUUAACACAUGCAAGUCGAACGAUGAACCAGGUGCUUGCACUUGGGGAUUAGUGGCGAACGGGUGAGUAACACGUGAGCAACCUGCCCCUGACUCUGGGAUAAGCGCUGGAAACGGCGUCUAAUACUGGAUAUGUCCCGUCACCGCAUGGUGUGCGGGUGGAAAGAUUUUUCGGUUGGGGAUGGGCUCGCGGCCUAUCAGCUUGUUGGUGAGGUAAUGGCUCACCAAGGYGUCGACGGGUAGCCGGCCUGAGAGGGUGACCGGCCACACUGGGACUGAGACACGGCCCAGACUCCUACGGGAGGCAGCAGUGGGGAAUAUUGCACAAUGGGCGAAAGCCUGAUGCAGCAACGCCGCGUGAGGGAUGACGGCCUUCGGGUUGUAAACCUCUUUUAGCAGGGAAGAAGCGAGAGUGACGGUACCUGCAGAAAAAGCACCGGCUAACUACGUGCCAGCAGCCGCGGUAAUACGUAGGGUGCAAGCGUUAUCCGGAAUUAUUGGGCGUAAAGAGCUSGUAGGCGGUSUGUCGCGUCUGCUGUGAAAUCCCGAGGCUCAACCUCGGGCUUGCAGUGGGUACGGGCAGACUAGRGUGCGGUAGGGGAGAUUGGAAUUCCUGGUGUAGCGGUGGAAUGCGCAGAUAUCAGGAGGAACACCGAUGRCGAAGGCAGAUCUCUGGGCCGUAACUGACGCUGAGGAGCGAAAGGGUGGGGAGCAAACAGGCUUAGAUACCCUGGUAGUCCACCCCGUAAA